AGACAGAUGGCCCGCGCCAGCUGUGCCCACCCUCCUCUCAACAAGACCUUGCUGCUCCGCGGGUCGGGGGCUGGGAUCUAUUUCUCACCCGUGAACGCUGGCUGGCCCGUGACACACAGAACGUGCCAGGGGUACUGUGUGUGAGUCCCACAGCCUCUACAGGCCCUGUGGCUUCUGCCGUCGUCCUUUGAGAACCCCAAGCCUUCCAUGCUGUGGCAAAGACCGGGCCGGCCUGCUGAGGAGGGGCUUCCACGUGGGGAGAAAGUGAUACGCUGCAGCUGGCAGCCAGCACCAACUGCUGGAGGCACGAGGCCGUCCUGGACCCACGAGCCCUAGCUGAUGACCAGCCAAACCCAGAAGCAGAGCCUUUGCUGACCUGCUGCUGACCACAGAUGCACGAGGAAGCUGGGAGAGGCCGCUGGAACCGCCCCACCGAGCCAGGUUGAGUUGCCUGCGAGGAAAGUAGAACCGCUGAACUUUGGGCAGUUUGUUACACAGCGAUAGACAGCUGACACACCCUCCGCGCAACCCACCUCCAUAAAGAGAAGGACGGGAUGGACCAGAUACAGAAAGCAGGCAGCGCGGAAGCGAGCAAAGUGAGGCCCCUCCUCGAGGUGAUUCCACCAACAAAGGUAUGACACUUGAAAUGGAUGCUGCCAAGCAGUGUGAUUAGUGAGACGGAUCUGUCUUACCCCAGAGGGAUGCAGGUGCUGGGGAUCUAUGCUCACUUUUCUAGAAAACGAGAAGAAACAACUACUCCAUUUGGAAACCUCAAGACUGUUUUUGAAGUUUGUGGACACACUUUGAGAGUCCACUGCAUGUCCAGAUGGUAUUCUCGAUGCAAGGACUCAGCUGUGUAGACCACAUGGAUCUUGGAACUUCACUGGGAUUGCUGCAGAAGGAAAAUAGGACCAAAGGGCCCAGCGCUGGCAAUGGAAAGCUUCAGCUUAGAAUCGACGUUCAUCAUUUCUUUUCACAACCUAUGGGACAGAACUGGUCACAUGGUCUUGGCUAACUACAAAUGGAGCAGGAACUGGCUGUGGUCAGCGCCAGAAGUUUCUACCACAGGUUUCUGACACAUGAUUGUUUUGAGGAGAAAGGUAAAGGAUGAAGUUUGGCAUUUUUCUUUCCUUUCCUAAAGAGCAACUUACUACAGUAAAGGGCACAAAUCUUGAUUGUACAGUGUGAUGAAGUUUUGCAAGUGUACAUACUCAUGUCACCAGCACCUAGAUCAAGAAAUAGAACACUCACAGCUCCUCAGAGGGCAGCCUGUGGUCUGCUCCCAGGCAAUUGUCCCCAAAUCUGUACUCUGACCUCUAACUCUAUAGGCCAGUUUUGCUUGGUUUUGUAUUUUACAUAAUGGAAUCCAUAGCCACGUGCCCUUUUGUGUGGAUGAAAAUUCAACAUUAUGCCUGUGAGAUUCACCCACGUUGUUGCAAAGAUUAGUAGUCUGUCCUUUGUUGCUGUGCGAUAUACCAUUGCCUUCUUAAAACGCCACCGUGUAAUUGAUCUUUCCAUUAUUUCAAGACAUUUGUGUUGUUUUCUGGUUGGGGCUAAAAAAACAAAGUUGCUGUGGGUUUGCUUAACUGUGAAUCUGGGGGACACGAGCAUGCAUUUCUGUGGAUUAUACACCAGGGGCGGAGUUGUUGGUUCAAACGAUCAGUGUUUGCCCUUAUUAGAUGCCUCCUCGUGGCCUAUGAAGUGGUUGUGCCAGUUUUGCUCCUGUCACCAGUGAGUGAGUUCCACUUGCUUCACAUUCUUAGCAACAUUUGAUGUUAUUUUAGUCACUCUGG
rnacentral:lncRNA from 1 species